UCCACCUCGUGCUGCCACUGUCAUGGUCGGUUCAUGCCAAGCCAAGCGAAGCACAGAGAAGCGGUGAAGACAUAGGGAGUAGUGGGCCACCGUCAUGUUUCCUUGACCUCGACGGAGUUUGUAGCACUAGAUCGAGCCUAGGAGCAUCACAGGAGCGCAUGGAGUCCGACCGGUGGCCAACCAAGCGGAGGCGAGGGCGGUGCAGUGGCAAAUUACUAUGAUCUAUGGCCAAGGAUCUCCACGCCAUUAUUUCCAGUCAAGGACAGGUACCACAAGACGAGGAGCAUGAAGGAUAUCGUGAUGAGUUCGUGAGAGGUCUAGGUCAUUGUCUCUCAGUCAACUAUGGUUGCGGGGAUUGUUGUCUUCGUAUGAUAUAAUUAUUUAGCUAUUUUGUACAGAACUCCUAUUAUAUAGUAAAGAUGUGACAUUCGUUUC